rnacentral:misc_RNA from 1 species
GAUGAAGAACGUAGCGAAAUGCGAUAAGUAGUGUGAAUUGCAGAAUUCAGUGAAUCAUCGAAUCUUUGAACGCACAUUGCGCCCUUUGGUAUUCCAAAGGGCAUGCCUGUUCGAGCGUCAUUUGUACCCUCAAGCUUUGCUUGGUGCUGGGCGUCUUGUCUCUAGCUUUGCUGGAGACUCGCCUUAAAGUAAUUGGCAGCCGGCCUACUGGUUUCGGAGCGCAGCACAAGUCGCACUCUCUAUCAGCAAAGGUCUAGCAUCCAUUAAGCCUUUUUUUCAACUUUUGACCUCGGAUCAGGUAGGGAUACCCGCUGAACUUAAGCAUAUCAAUAAGCGGAGGA